AACGAACGCUGGCGGCAGGCUUAACACAUGCAAGUCGAACGCAUCCUUCGGGGUGAGUGGCAGACGGGUGAGUAACGCGUGGGAACGUGCCCUUCAGUUCGGGAUAACCCAGGGAAACUUGGGCUACUACCGGAUACGUGCGAGAGCAGAAAGAUUUAUCGCUGAAGGAUCGGCCCGCGUCUGAUUAGCUAGUUGGUGGGGGAAUGGCCCACCAAGGCGACGAUCAGUAGCUGGUCUGAGAGGAUGACCAGCCACAUUGGGACUGAGACACGGCCCAAACUCCUACGGGAGGCAGCAGUGGGGAAUAUUGGACAAUGGGCGCAAGCCUGAUCCAGCCAUGCCGCGUGAGUGAUGAAGGCCUUAGGGUUGUAAAGCUCUUUCGUCCGGGACGAUAAUGACGGUACCGGAAGAAGAAGCCCCGGCUAACUUCGUGCCAGCCGCCGCUGUAA
rnacentral:rRNA from 1 species